CCUACGGGUAGCAGCAGUGAGGAAUAUUGGUCAAUGGACGAGAGUCUGAACCAGCCAAGUAGCGUGAAGGAUGACUGCCCUAUGGGUUGUAAACUUCUUUUAUAUGGGAAUAAAACGUUCCACGUGUGGGAUUUUGUAUGUACCAUAUGAAUAAGGAUCGGCUAACUCCGUGCCAGCAGCCGCGGUAAUACGGAGGAUCCGAGCGUUAUCCGGAUUUAUUGGGUUUAAAGGGAGCGUAGGUGGAUUGUUAAGUCAGUUGUGAAAGUUUGCGGCUCAACCGUAAAAUUGCAGUUGAAACUGGCAGUCUUGAGUACAGUAGAGGUGGGCGGAAUUCGUGGUGUAGCGGUGAAAUGCUUAGAUAGCACGAAGAACUCCGAUUGCGAAGGCAGUUCACUGGACUGCAACUGACACUGAGGCUCGAAAGUGUGGGUAUCAAACAGGAUUAGAUACCCCGGUAGUC
rnacentral:rRNA from 1 species